rnacentral:lncRNA from 1 species
AUCCCUCUUACCGGGUCUCCUUCUCGGGACUCCCUUCAGUCCACUUACCCCGUUUCUGCCCCCCAGGCCUUCUCUGGGCAGUGACUGUGAGGGCUGACAGGAAAGGCAUGUGCAGCGUGCUUGUGAGGAGCUCAGCACAGAGGGUGGGGUGAGGGCAUGUGUUGCUGAAGUCUGCAUCCUGAGGUGCCUGUGGCAAACCACUCUUCCCUUCUGUCUCCUCAGUUCAGCCAGGCCCUGGCCAUCCGGAGCUAUACCAAGUUCGUGAUGGGGAUUGCAGUGAGCAUGCUGACCUACCCCUUCCUGCUAGUUGGCGACCUCAUGGCUGUGAACAACUGCGGGCUGCAAGCUGGGCUCCCCCCUUACUCCCCAGUGUUCAAAUCCUGGAUUCACUGCUGGAAGUACCUGAGUGUGCAGGGCCAGCUCUUCCGAGGCUCCAGCCUGCUUUUCCGCCGGGUGUCAUCAGGAUCAUGCUUUGCCCUGGAGUAACCUGAAUCAUCUAAAAAACACGGUCUCAACCUGGCCACCGUGGGUGAGGCCUGACCACCUUGGGACACCUGCAAGACGACUCCAACCCAACAACAACCAGAUGUGCUCCAGCCCAGCCGGGCUUCAGUUCCAUAUUUGCCAUG